rnacentral:rRNA from 1 species
AACGAACGCUGGCGGCAUGCCUAACACAUGCAAGUCGAACGAGACCUUCGGGUCUAGUGGCGCACGGGUGCGUAACGCGUGGGAAUCUGCCCUUCGGUUCGGAAUAACAGUUAGAAAUGACUGCUAAUACCGGAUGAUGACUUCGGUCCAAAGAUUUAUCGCCGAGGGAUGAGCCCGCGUAGGAUUAGCUAGUUGGUGAG